UGGAAAGGUCAGGCUCAAGGAAGUGGAAGCUCGGACAAAACGAUGGAAUCUUUGUUCAGUUGAAUCUCCGUCUAUUCGAAAUGUUUGGUUCAUUCCUAGCUCGAAAGAAAAGGGGCAAACCUUAUGCAGGGAUCCUCAAGCUCUAGAUAUCGGUGCACAUGAGAUUCUCCCUCGCAUCUUCAAGGAAGUAUCGAAGAGCUCGUAGUGCAUUGUUUUAUUGCAGUUUGAUUCUCUACUCUCUAUCCAGUUUUUGAUCAAUACUGAAGAAAAAAAAGGAGUUUCUUGUGUGUUUGUGCUACUCAGACAAACCACCCACCUGUGUUGUUUCUUGUUUAAGAGCUUUUUGUUUUAUGUCUUGAAGUGUGAAAAUCCAAUGUUAACGUCCAAUAUUCAUCAUUGACAUCAACACAACCGUAUGGUUUGUUAAGUUUUAGGUAGAAAUGCUUGAUUCUUGUGAAAGCUACCAUGAACAAUAUUUUUCACUAAUGGCCCUAUGUAGCCCAACAAAUUAAAUUAGUUAGCCCAGAUUA